CCUACGGGAGGCAGCAGUGAGGAAUAUUGGUCAAUGGACGAGAGUCUGAACCAGCCAAGUAGCGUGAAGGAUGACUGCCCUAUGGGUUGUAAACUUCUUUUAUAAAGGAAUAAAACGAGGCACGUGUGCCUUUUUGCAUGUACUUUAUGAAUAAGGAUCGGCUAACUCCGUGCCAGCAGCCGCGGUAAUACGGAGGAUCCGAGCGUUAUCCGGAUUUAUUGGGUUUAAAGGGAGCGGAGAUGGGUUGUUAAGUCAGUUGUGAAAGUUUGCGGCUCAACCGUAAAAGUGCAAUUGAUACUGGGAGUCUUGAGUACAGUUGAGGUAGGCGGAAUUCGUGGUGUAGCGGUGAAAUGCUUAGAUAUAACGAAGAACCCCGAUUGCGAAGGCAGCUUACUAAACUGUGACUGACAUUGAUGCUCGAAAGUGUGGGUAUCAAACAGGAUUAGAUACCCUUGUAGUC
rnacentral:rRNA from 1 species